UGCAUGACAUAAUACGUACAUAAUUAUAAUUGUUGAAUCUGAAUAUGAUGCGGAAUGACAUGAUCAUCUGCUAUUCUGAAUGACAUAUUUGCAUAUAUCAUGAUAUGCGUGGUACAUAAAAAGUGGUUGUCAAAGAAUUGGUUUUAAUAAUAAUUUAUCUAAACUGACAUGCGGUGAUCCUAAUUUAUGAUCAAGCUACUUACCUCGUUGCGCUACUUCUUGAAUUUCACUUCGUAGCUCGUCACCUAUACAAAGUAUUAAAUGUCACUAAAUCUGUCUAGAAAAACGUGUCCUAAUAUCCUACUUACUUAAAUUCAUACUGUAGAAAAUAAUCAAAUAAAUAUUCUGUUUAAUAUGAACAUCAAUGAAUGCUAAUAUUUUAAUUUAUUUAAACACUAAUAACAUAUUAAAAUUUAGUUGAAUACUUGGGCUAUAUUCAACUCUUUUAAAAGUAAGUAGUGAAAACCUCAACUAGUGAAAACCUCAACUCUUAAAAUAGGUUUACUUUCUUAUAAUUAAUAUAAUUAUUCAGUCUCACAAGAAAUCUAAUAAAUAUUAAUAUCAUUUAAAUAUUCUUAACAGAUUUCUUUAUUUUUUAAUCAUAAUUGUAAUAGAACAAAUUUUAUCAAAUCUGAUGAAAUAAACAACGGCAUUCAUUUAGUAACUAAACUUAAUCACAUUUAAAGUAUUUAAAAUAAAGAUUAAACUCUUCCUAUUUUAUCACUGAAAUCUAGUUAUAAAAAUUUAAUACUUAACAGCACGAUUUAACUUGUAUAUUUUCUGUAGGAAAAAGAAGGUUAAUGAAAAAUAAAGUUUUUGGGCUAAUCAAAGAUUAAACCGAGUUUAACUUAAACGUCAAAGCCCAUAUGAAAAUCGGUCUACUUAAAAAUUUAAAAUAUUAUAACAGUUCCUGAAAUACAAUAACACAACCCAUGUGAAAAUUAAGCCCAACGUAACAAUCAGAGCUCAACCAAAAAAUAUAAGUUCAAAACGUAUUCUCUUUGGCUUAUAACUAAGGGGCAUAAUUGUAAUUACAUUAAAAGGUCUACCCUUCUGUAAGUGUAACCGACUGAAGGCUUAGGACUUCAUUUCAUGUAAGUUGUAACGUCUCAAUGGAAGGCCGAAACUACAUGAUGUAUACUUCAAAAUGACUAAUUAAUGAUACAAUUGGAGCUCAAUUGAGACUUUAUAAAGAGUUAGAAUUUCUCAUUCCCAAGCAAUGUGGGAUCUCAUUCACUACCUACCCUUAUCCUUAUCAUAUGAGAUAUCACAAUCUCUCCCUCUUAAAUUCUCAACGUCCUCAUCGGAUUGUUCGUUGUAGGUGGCACAACUUAAGCCCCCACAUUUAUGGUUGGGAUAGGCUCUGAUACCAUUUGUAACUCUCCAAUGGAAGGCCCAAACCACAUGGUUUAUACUCCAAAAUAACUAGUCAAUGAUACAAUUGGAGCCCUAGUGAAACCUUAUAAAGAGUAAGAACUUCUUAUUUCCAAACAAUGUGGGAUCUUAUUCAUCACCUACCCAUAUCCUUCUCAUAUGGGAUAUCACAUUUCAACUUGAAAUCAAACAACAGGUAUUUUCCUGAGGGAAACAAAAGUCAUGCGACAGAUCCUUAUCGAGAGAGGAAGUACACGACGAAGCUGAGGUGAGGUGAUGAUGGCGAGUGCAGCAGCUAAGAGAGAGAGAGAGAUCAGUGCCGUUGGUUUAGAGAGAGAAGCGAUAGAGAAGAUAAAGAGGAGGGAGGUUGAGUGUGGGCUUACCGGAGGAAAUACUCUGGACCUGAGGUAAUGGGAAGUGGAAAGGGCUGGCGACUUGCGGUGGCUUCCUGAGAUGCAGUGGCGGCUUGUUUGCACGUAGAAAUACCCUAUUUCUGGUGUAGCAAAACAGGGCACUACCGUUGGCUGUUUCAUGUGGUUAGGCGACUGUGGUUCUCGAAAGGAAACGUCUGACGGUGCUAUUUCGUUCCUUGUCAUGGCAUUUCAACGUGUUUAGAGAUGGUUGUUUUCCAGGCUGGGAUUACGUUGGUGCUACCCGUGGUGUUGUUCGUUGGCUCAUGGUGGCUUUUCCCGUGGCUAUGACGUUGUUCUGAGGUUAGGGGCUGAGGGAGUGCCGUCACGUGGCUGCAGUGUGGAGGAGACGGGUGGUGCAGUACUGGGAUGUCCGUAGCCACUUCAACGUGGAGGAGAGGAUGUAUGGCGAUGCUAGGCAUGGCUAAAGCUUGCUACUUCGUCCGAUGCAGAACUGGUAGAAUAGAAAAGACGGCACAGAGGAGACAUGGAGGAGCUAGGUUUUGCAUGUUGGGUUGCUCCAUGUGAUCUUGAUUGUCAUGAGUGUUUCUUGCGUGUGUUGCCGAAACCGCUUUGAGGGGCUGGGAAGUUGAUGCUAUGUGUGCGGAGAUAGUGCGGCAACCCUAUAUUAUAGGGAAGGUGACGACAUGUGCAUGGCUACGUGGGUUUAUAUAGAAGUCGUGUAGGGUUUUCAUUCAUGUGAGUUCGUCGGUUACAAAAAGGAAAGUUUUUCAACUAUCAAAACCGAGACGGAAGUCAGUUACAAUAUACAAAAUCUUCCAGAUUAAGAAAUUACCCAAGAGAAGAUAGUGGUGUGAAGGGAAAAAUAACGUAGAGGAAAGAGAGGUAUAAAAAAAAAAAUUGAGGAUUUUGGCGAUUGCAUUCCGUUGACGGCGUAACGUUCAAAUUUACGUUGAACGUCCCAAGGAUGAAGGCUUGAAGGUCGAUGGAAGAUCCCAAAAUAUUAAAGCUUAAUUAGGAAAGAUUAUUAUUAAUAAAGAUAAAAAUAUUAACAAUUAUAACUAAAAGAAUAGCUAUAAUAAAAAUCCGUAUUUAAAAUAAAGACAACUUAUUAAUGCCGUAGAAUCCUAUAAAAUUGAUAAUACUAAUAAUAACAUUAAGAAAAUUUUAUAAUUAUAUAAAACAAAAUCCGAUAAAAUUAUUCACAUUCCAUCCCUAAUAAUAUCUAGGUCAGGUCAGAAACGCUUCACCAACUAGAAAUUAUUGCCACAGGUAUACUACUCCAUUUCUUUCUUUUAUCCAACUGUUUGUCUUUGAAGUCCUGGCCAUCAAAAUGAUCAUAAUACUUCCUGAACAAACUACUCUUCAGGAAGACCUCCUCUUCUUGAUGGUGUUAAGGCAUUGAAUAUUGUUCAUUGGAGAUCUAUUCUGCUAACCUAGCAUGGUUUGCUGCAUCUGGAAAAAUAAUUAGUCAGAGAAUCCAAACAACCCAUACAUUCGAGCAUUGUUUCACUUUUGUCGAGACCAUCAUAACAUAGCUUUAAGUGUAUUUGUUUAGUUUUGUUGGAUGUGGGUUUUCAUUCUUCAUUUUUUUCCUCAAUAUCUGACAUUUUCUCAGAGUUUGUUAGGGUUUUUCUUAUCCUCAAGAGGUGGCAUAGUAGUGACCAUGGUGCUAUUAGGGACCAAAUUCUAGUUAUGCUUGAGCCUAAUCUAAUGGGAAAGGGCGAAUUUAAUUAUUUUAAAUGUUUCAUCUUUGUGCUGUCCCUCCACCUGGUUGAAAUCUGAUAAGCCUCUAGUGUCUAGAUUCCAGCACUCAGAUUCCAUAUCGAUAGUGUUUUUAUGUUUUUCCUUUUGUUGGGAGAUUGUAUUGAUGAUAUAAGAAAAUAAUUGAGGAACACUAGAAAGCUCAAUGAAUUCAUUGAUAUGUUGAAGGUGUUUAAAUAUACAGCUUCAUAAGUGAUUACCACAGUUGAAUAAAUACAACGAUUUCUGUACAGCUAAACAAUCAAGCUAAAAUGGAAACAAAGAAUGAAAUACAAUCUUGACUUCGUAACGGUAGAAUCCUCGACAGUAGGCUGAGUUGGCUGUGCCGAUUUAUGUGGAGUGGAUUAGGCUUGUCUCGGGAGAUUGUGGCUUGAAUUAUGGUCUGCAUGAUCAAUGGGGUUGCUGUCUUGAGAAUCUAUAUGAUUAACUGAUGGUACACAUGUGAUUUUCUAUAUCUGGAAAAAUAAAACUUUGCCCUGGCCCCUGGCUUGUUUCUUUUGAGUUUUGAGUACUUAUCUUCCGAAGGUUUCAUAUAAAGUACGGUUGGUCGACAAGAAAUGGCCGGAAUACUGAUGAUGGUAGUUCCCUCAGUGGUUCAUUAUAAACUCUUCACUAACUAUAAAUUAUUGCUACAGAUUGUUUGGUAGAAAAUGUCUCGGAAUUGGCUGCAAUUGGGGUAGGAGCGUGUGACUUUGAAGAGGACCGGACCCCACCUCUCUGGCAGGUGACAUGAGGCACUUAUCUAAGCAGGUGGGGCAAGUCUAAUCCACCCUCACAAAUUUCUGUUCAAGGUGUAGACUAUUCGGAUCGAGAAUUUGAGGAGAUCACCAUCUACACCAUGAAUUAUUAAGAUAGCUUGUCUAGUUGAAGAUGAGUGGGUCAAAAGACUGUCCCAAUUUUUCCUGUGACUUGACAUGGCAACUAUACAUGACUUUUCCAGGAAAGUGGUAGAUUAUUAUAGCCUCUUUUCCCGCUACAAAAGUCCUAAUUUUUUUGUCAUGUUACAUAAUUAAAAAAAAAAAAAAAAAAAAAAAAAAAAAAAAAAACCACAAAUGGUCUAUCGGUCACGGUCGUCGGUCACAUGUAUCGGGCAACGUAGUAUUUUCUUUUGUUUUAUAGACGAAAGGAUAAAAGAAGCAACAUAAGUGACUUCUUUAUC